AACAUUCUCACCUUAAUGAUAACAGAACAUUCAACUUGAGCAAUAAACAAAUACGAAGUGAUGCUUCAGCCAGCUACUUACCAGCUUGCCAACAAGCAACCCUUGGCAAGAUUCACUUAAAUUCCUAAUUCAACAUCAAAAUGUUUUAUAUAGCAAAGGCAGUAAUUCUAAAUCUUACUCACCUCAGUAUCAUCAAAAGCUGCAU
rnacentral:misc_RNA from 1 species